CCUACGGGUGGCAGCAGUCGAGAAUCAUUCACAAUGGGGGAAACCCUGAUGGUGCGACGCCGCGUGGGGGAAUGAAGGUCUUCGGAUUGUAAACCCCUGUCAUGUGGGAGCAAAUUAAAAAGAUAGUACCACAAGAGGAAGAGACGGCUAACUCUGUGCCAGCAGCCGCGGUAAUACAGAGGUCUCAAGCGUUGUUCGGAAUCACUGGGCGUAAGGCGUGCGUAGGCUGUUUCGUAAGUCGUGUGUGAAAGGCGCGGGCUCAACCCGCGGACGGCACAUGAUACUGCGAGACUAGAGUAAUGGAGGGGGAACCGGAAUUCUCGGUGUAGCAGUGAAAUGCGUAGAUAUCGAGAGGAACACUCGGGGCGAAGGCGGGUUCCUGGACAUUAACUGACGCUGAGGCACGAAGGCCAGGGGAGCGAAAGGGAUUAGAUACCCGGGUAGUC
rnacentral:rRNA from 1 species